GCUUAACGCGAAGAACCUUACCAACCCUUGACAUGGGACGUAUGGGCUUCAGAGAUGAGGUCCUUCAGUUCGGCUGGCGUCCACACAGGUGCUGCAUGGCUGUCGUCAGCUCGUGUCGUGAGAUGUUGGGUUAAGUCCCGCAACGAGCGCAACCCUCAUCUUCAGUUGCCAUCAUUUAGUUGGGCACUCUGAAGAAACUGCCGGUGCAAGCCGGAGGAAGGCGGGGAUGACGUCAAGUCCUCAUGGCCCUUACGGGUUGGGCUACACACGUGCUACAAUGGUGGUGACAAUGGGGAGCGAGGCCGCGAGGCCAAGCCAAUCUCAAAAAGCCAUCUCAGUUCGGAUUGCACUCUGCAACUCGAGUGCAUGAAGUUGGAAUCGCUAGUAAUCGCGCAUCAGCAUGGCGCGGUGAAUACGUUCCCGGGUCUUGUACACACCGAGGUCGGUGGGGGAGGGCGAAGGGC
rnacentral:rRNA from 1 species